rnacentral:misc_RNA from 1 species
AGCAAACAAGAUUAUAUUCUGCACAAGUUCUAAUUCCUUAAUCUACUUAAAGGCCUAUAUUUAUUGGUACAAAUUUCAAAUUACUAGACACUACUUCAAAUUUUCAACAUGGCCUAUGUGACUCAUCAGAUGAUCUUCAUUCAGUGUAGUGCUAUUCAAACAAAAUCCAUUACAAUCUAAGCUAUCAUAGUCGGUUUCAGUGAGAAAAGGGGGCAAUAACAAUGGCACAUAAAAACAUAUUUGUGAUUAAAAAAAAAGCAAAAUUCAACAAUUGAG